rnacentral:sRNA from 1 species
GUAAUUGAAAAAAGGCCUCAUAGAGAAGAUUAGAGUUUAUCAACAAGGAUUAAUUCAGACAUAUGCUUGUCAAUUUUGAUUAAAUCAUUGGCCAAAAAAUCGAUUAGAAAAAGA